rnacentral:rRNA from 1 species
UGGGGAAUUUUGGACAAUGGGCGCAAGCCUGAUCCAGCAAUGCCGCGUGCAGGAAGAAGGCCUUCGGGUUGUAAACUGCUUUUGUACGGAACGAAAAGGCUCUGGUUAAUACCUGGAGUUGAUGACGGUACCGUAAGAAUAAGCACCGGCUAACUACGUG